rnacentral:tRNA from 1 species
GGUUGCUUAGCUCAGCGGGAGAGCAUUCCCUUCACAGGGGAGGGGUCAAGGGUUCAAACCCCUUAGCGACCACCA